GUGAGGAAUUUUCCGCAAUGGGCGAAAGCCUGACGGAGCAAUGCCGCGUGAAGGAUGAAGGCCUAUGGGUUGUAAACUUCUUUUCUCAGAAAAGAAUUAUGACGGUAUCUGAGGAAUAAGCAUCGGCUAACUCUGUGCCAGCAGCCGCGGUAAGACAGAGGAUGCAAGCGUUAUCCGGAAUGAUUGGGCGUAAAGCGUCUGUAGGUUGUUUAAAAAGUAUUCUGUCAAAGAUUAGGGCUUAACCCUAGAUAGGCAGAAUAAACUUUUAAGCUAGAGUUUGGUAGAAGCAGAGGGAAUUCCCGGUGGAGCGGUGAAAUGCGUAGAUAUCGGGAGGAACACCAAAGGCGAAGGCACUCUGCUGGGCCAAUACUAACACUGAGAGACGAAAGCGAGGGGAGCAAAUGGGAUUAGAUACCCCGGUAGUCC
rnacentral:rRNA from 1 species